rnacentral:rRNA from 1 species
GCCAUGCAGGUGACAGUUCAUACUAGCUAAUAGUGAGACUGCGGACGGCUCAGUAAAUCAGUUAUAAUCCGUUCGAAAGUAACUCCAUUGGAUAACCGUGGGAAAUCUAGAGCUAAUACAUGCAGAAAAGUGUUUGUAGCAAUACGGGCACUAGCAUUUAUUAGAAAAAACCAACUGAUUGGUAUUGGUGAAAACCGGUAUCAAUCAAGGUGAAUCUAGAUAACUUUGCUAAUCGCAUAGCCUCGAGCUGGCGAUAUUUCGAUCGAAUUUCUGCCCUAUCAACUUGUUGGUAAGGUAGUGGCUUACCAAGGUUGCAACGGGUAACGGGGAAUCAGGGUUCGAUUCCGGAGAGGGAGCCUGAGAAACGGCUACCACAUCCAAGGAAGGCAGCAGGCGCGUAAAUUACCCAAUCCAGACAAUGGGAGGUGGUGACCAGAAGUACUGGGUGAUGGAUAUAAAUCUAUCAAUCCCGGAAUGAGCAUAAAGUAAAAAUUUAGUCGAGUAACAACUGGAGGGCAAGUCUGGUGCCAGCAGCCGCGGUAAUUCCAGCUCCAGUAGCAUGUCGUAAAGUUGUUGCGUUUAAAACGCUCGUAGUUGGAUCAUUCAGCAGAAUAUAGUUAAUCUACAGCUAAUUCGGCAAAAAAACCUUUGCAGUUUUAUGGUAUGGUUAACUCUGUAUCAUGGGGUUGUAAGGGAGUCAAUUAGAUAGAUAUUUUGCUAUAUUCUGCUAUUUGCACGUAAGAAUAAUGAUUGGCCUUAAGUGCGUUGGUCAUUGUGUCUUGCGGGAUGUGCCUUGAAAAAAUCAAAGUGCUUAAAGCAGGUAUUGUGCCUGAAUGAUACAGCAUGGAACGAACAAUAGUGUAAAGUGUGCAGCACAUGAUGCAUGUCGCAAGGUGUGUAUUACUGUGUUGUACACAUCACCAACCACCAUGUACGGAUGUUGGUUUCCGUAUUGGGGUGAUGAUUAAAACGAGCGGUUGGGGGCAUUGGUAUUUGGCCGCGAGAGGUGAAAUUCUUAGACCGGCCAAGGACUAACAAAAGCGAAGGCAUUUGCCAAGACCGUUUCGAUUAAUCAAGAACGAAAGUGAGCGGAUCGAAGACGAUCAGAUACCGUCCUAGUGCUCACCGUAAACUAUGCCAACCCGGGAUUAGUUUAGAGCAAUAAUAAAGCUCCAGGUUGGUCCCCCUGGGAAACCUCAAGUUUUUGGGUUACGGGGGGAGUAUGGUCGCAAGGCUGAAACUUAAAGGAAUUGACGGAAGGGCACCACCAGGGGUGGAGCCUGCGGCUUAAUUUGACUCAACACGGGAAAACUCACCCAAACCGGACGUUAAUAGGAUAGACAGACUAAUAGAUCUUUCUUGAUAUGAUGUGUGGUGGUGCAUGGCCGUUCUUAGUUCGUGAAAUGAUUUGUCAGGUUGAUUCCGGUAACGGACGAGACCCUAGUCUCCAUUUACGGUACGUAAUAGUUACUUUACCAGCAAUGGUGGGUAGCUCUAACUAUUGUGGUCAGUAUAUGGAAUACCAAAACCUGGCCACGAUAGUUAUUCUUACGUAAAACUGUAUGCUCCUGCAUAUAGUUGCAUGGAGAGACAACUGACUAUAAAUAAAAUCAGAGGAAGUUUGGCAAUAACAGGUCUGUGAUGCCCUUAGAUGUUCGGGGCUGCACGCGCGCUACAAUGAUGACGGCAGCGAGAUAUCUGAGCCGAAAGGCUUGGGAAAUCUGUAAAUCGUCAUCGUGAUGGGGAUUGUCCAUUGUAAUUUGGACAUGAAAUAGGAAUCCCUUGUACGUGCACUUCAUCUUAAAGUGCGUGGAAUGAGUCCCUGCCCUUUGUACACACCGCCCGUCGCUACUACCGAGUGAAUGGUGUCAUGAUGCGUUGGGACUGGAUGUCGUGAGGUUUUUACACCCUGCGAUACUAGAAUCAAUGUAAAAUGGCGCAAUUUCGAGGAAGUAAAAGUCGUAACAAGGUUU